AUUGAACGCUGGCGGCAUGCCUUACACAUGCAAGUCGAACGGCAGCACGGGAGCAAUCCUGGUGGCGAGUGGCGAACGGGUGAGUAAUAUAUCGGAACGUGCCCAGUCGUGGGGAUAACGUAGCGAAAGCUACGCUAAUACCGCAUACGAUCUAUGGAUGAAAGCGGGGGAUCUUCGGACCUCGCGCCAUUAGAUGAGCCUAGGUCGGAUUAGCUAGUUGGUGAGGUAAUGGCUCACCAAGGCGACGAUCUGUAGCUGGUCUGAGAGGACGACCAGCCACACUGGGACUGAGACACGGCCCAGACUCCUACGGGAGGCAGCAGUGGGGAAUUUUUGGGACAAUGGGCGCAAGCCUGAUCCAGCAAUGCCGCGUGCAGGAUGAAGGCCUCGG
rnacentral:rRNA from 1 species